AGCUUCAGAUUUUCUUCUUUUAGUGGGGCCACUGCUCCUUUUUUUUGAAGACAGAGCAAAGCUGUGAAUAAUGCCUAAGAGCUAAACUAAACCAGAAAUAAGUGACUUUUUUUAAUGUGAGACCUUCAACCUCAAUUCCAGUUCCCCAGAGGCCAGCUUUGAGUCCUUGUCACAUAAUGCUCUCACGGAUUUCAACUGGGGAUAAAGAUAGUUCUGUAAAGAAACUGAUGAAGAAACUGCUACUGAGAAAGGCAGCUGCAAUCGCUGUGUUCUCUGACCAAGAAGACAAGCUUCUGACCUCUGCCACUAAUGCCAAUAGGCAAUCAGACUACAUAAAAUGCUGCAAGUAACAAUUUAUUCUACUGCCUAUAAUGAAAAAUCGUACAGCAAUUCCAUCCUGAAAUUCAGCCCACUGACUUCAUCAAUCCUGUUGUGCUCCUGCCUAAGUACAAGUACCUAGUGGCCUAAUGUUCUUCUGUUAUUGAAACACAACAUAGCACUGAAAGUGUGUUGAUGUAAUCUCUGAAGUCUGGAAAAACAGAGGAAAAAAACUUUUAGAUCGUUCUCUCAUUCUGCUAUACUGGAAGACACCAGAAUGACGUUGCUAAAUAUCUUGAUCCAGUAGACCAAGAUUUUGUCUUGUCUCUAAUAUAUCUAAAUAUUACAUCUACCUGAUUGUUCUAAAGAAAUAUGUAUUUUUUAAGGUAACUACACUAUUAUUCUGAUGUUGCACUACUUGGGAUAUUUAUUUCUCUUCAAAGUAUAGCAGACAAAAAUUAUUUAUGAACCACUGCCUGUGCUAUCCUUCUUUCUGUUUUUGUCUUGACCUCAGUAGUACUUAGUAGUCAGAUAUCAACUAAUUUCACUGUGAGCUCUGGUUAUUCAGGCCUCCAGAAAAUCACAUUUCAUGUUAUUUUUAUUGAGGACAUUCAUAGAACUUCCGGAUGUUGAUGCACAGGUAACAACUUUGCAGGGCAAAAUAUAGAACUUCUGAUUUUCAGAUGUUCAUCUGGUGGCAAGAUUUAGCUUUGGAAGUAAGCACUUCACAUUACAAGGUAUAAUUACUAAGCUGCCAACCUAUCUACUUAUUAGAAUGACAAUUAGUGUGCUACCUUUUGUACUACUAGUUGUGUUUAGCACUGGAAGGAAUAUAGGGUCUAUGCUGACCACAUGAAUACUAAGAUGUGAGUUAGACUCUCCAUUUAGUUCCAUUUAGUGUUUUUGAUACUACAACAAUUACACACAGGAAAAAUAAAACUUCCUUGCAGAAAUCUUAAUAUACAAUGCUGCAGUAUGAAAAAUAGAGGAGAAUAAUAUUCUGAAACUGUCAUUAAGAAUUGAACCCAACUGAAAAGAAAUUCUGGUUCAGUAUAACAGCAUACUGAAUAAUCACUUCUUCAAAUAUCCAUACUGAAUAAUCACUUCUUCAAAUAUCCAAGUGAUCAACUUUUAUUCUUCUGUAUUCUUCUUUAUUUGUUCCUGUUCUCUACAAGACAACCCACUUUUUACACAUAACACAAUGUCUGUUUAUGGAUUUACGUGGCGUUAAGAAAAGGGAAGUAAUUAUCUACUGUCAUAUGCCCCAUCAAAAUUAGUCAGUUCAUUUGGUUUUAGCUAUACAACAUUGCAGAGAAAUAGGAAAUCAAUUGAAUUGCUAAUAUGUUUUGAUCUAAUAUGUGUUUUGAUUAAACUGGGGUAACAUACUGUAAUUCAAUCCGUAGAUUUCAUUAAAAAAAUAAAGCCACCUUUCUAAACUGUGGCUUCCAUUUGAGAUGUUGCGGUAUAAAUCCUUUAAGUAGGGAAGACCAAAAUCAACUGUAAUUCAGUUUUCAGAUAAAACACAUACUUACAUUUUUGUCUGAAAAGAUAGAUUAGCAUAUUCAUUUUUCCUGUCAUUUAUCUUAAACAUUGUCAUUCUGUUUGUCUUACUAGACAUUCUGUCAUUGCAAAUAACUGUAAGACUUUCAGACUUCACGCACUACAAAAGAGAUGUUUCUGCGGUAAAUUGCAAACAACACCUAAAAGCACAGGAUGUACUAUUUCAGGCUACGAUGAAAUAAAAUUACUCCAUGUUGUACCUGUUGCUUUUAGGAGAAAUUUAGGGUGGUAGGUGUAAUAGCAACAGAAUAAUUUAGUGGUUGGAGUACAUAAAAGACGUAUUCUUGGCACUGUCAGUUAGGUGGGUAUAUUUAUCUCAGACUCAAUUCCUUCAUACAAGUCUUGAAGUAGAUCAAUAUUACCUUUUAAAAACAGUUAGAGAUCAUCCACUGAAAUACCAUAGUAACUUCAGAUGAUUAUAUUACAAUCAUCACGAGUUCACAGUAAGAAGUGAUAAAACAGCUCUGAUAUCCAUUAUUAAGGAAAAAAAAAAAAGCUAUAAAAGCUGUAAAUAACAAAUAUUAAUGCUAUCAUCUUCAGAACUAAAGUUUGGCCAAGCAUUUGAGCUGAACAGUGUAUUAUGAACUUCUAGAUGUAUGUACAGUUGCUCUUGAGCCUCAUGGGAGACCGAGCAUAUUUAGAGACACAGGGUGCUCUCCAUAGUAUAGGUGAGCAUUGUUUUGUUACUGAUUCAGAGAAGAAAAAAAUAAAAAAUUCUCCCCCCUCAAACCCUCACUUGCACAACUGCUAGACAGCUGUUUUCUUUACUUCCAUUUUUCAUACUGAACAGUGCUGUUUCAUUGCUUUCUUCUCCUUCCUCUAUUCAUCUGUGUUCUUCCACCUGCUAAUGGUAGAAUUAAACUUUAGACUGUGAGGUCUUUUGGGCAGCGAGCGUGCCUUUCUAAUGUUUGCCCUGUAGGGCUAAAGGAGUCUAUGGAUCUCAAACCCUACUUUGGAGAGUAUUUAUCUUCCUGGAACAGAGGGCUUGGGUAUGGGAUUUUCUUUCCACCAGGAUUGAAAGAACCUGCAGGAAGGAGUCAACCUGAACAAAAUCAAAUCAGCAGCCUCUAGUCGCUGAUUACAUCAGAUUAUUUGCUAUUGUUCUGAUGGACUCUCCUUGGCCUCUUCUGAUCUACUGUUUAUUCCAGUCUUUUUUUGUUUCAUUUCACACUAUCUAAAUUUCAGUUUCAUCUACAUCUUUUUCCUAUUUUCUUCUCUGCUUUAUUUUCUCUUUCUACUCAUUCUCCUAUAUGGAUUUCUCUUUUCUUUUUUUCUUUUAAUGAAAUAUUACAUAAAAAUACUUAAAUUCAAAGUAAAGCUUUGUACCUUUGGCUUCAUGGGCAAUGUAGUUCCCCACUGCAAAGAUGCUGGUACUUAUUUAUGGAGUAUCAAAAAGUGCAGUGAGAGAAAUAGAAUAUUUGUGUUGAUUUUGUCUUGCUAGAAAAAAAUGUUGAAAAAUUGGCAGAGGUACAACACAGAAUCCCAAGGCAUGAAGGCCUAAGAGAACACCAUCCAAUAUGAAACUUCAGAAGUUCAACAUGUUUUAUCUGUUUAGAAAGAAAACUGAAAAGUAUGUGUUACAGUGCAUAAAUAUCUUUGUGGGAAGGAAAUACAAUCUACUAAAAAGUUCUUUGAUCUUACAAAGAGGGAUGUCACUAGAACAAGAUGCUGAGCACCAAAUUCAAAUUGCAAGCUCAUGCAAUUUCAACAGUAAGAACAUUUGAUCACUACAGGAAACGCAAGCCAAACACAGGCUUCAAAUAUGGCAUGGAUGCCUUUGUUGAAGCAAAAAUUCAGCCAACAUUUGAGCUUUCUCAUUUUCAAUACGAAAUGCAUUUUAUUCAAACACAAAUUAGCCUACAACAGAGUUGAUGGUUUGCUUAUCUCUUUGGCUUUGAAAUCUAUGAAUCUUAUGAUAUUCAGCAACUCACUGUCAUCAGUUCUACCAAACUUGCCUGUACAUUCUUCUCCUGAUUGCAUAGUUAGUAACAGAAGAGUCUUUUGAAGUACUGAAUUAACAUAUCAGUAACUCUUCUGAAAUCUCAAAACCUGCUUCUAAAUUUGUGGCAUAGUAGAAAGAUUAUCUACUUUAUAUUGCUUAGUAACUAUAGAACUUACAAAGACUUAUUAGUUUAUAAAGUUUGUUGCUUUUUAAGGUUUUGGGGUCUAGGACUAUUCAACUGUUAGCAAAGUGAUCUUUUAUUUCACCUCAUAUGCAUAAUUACAAAUUUUGUUGUGCAAUUCAACAAAACUGGGAGAUACUGAUCAAGAUGUUUUCUGGCUAUUUGGUGCAUCUCUCCCACAGCAAACAAACAAAACCAACCAACAAAAAUUCAGUCUACAGCUGUACUAAUGUACAACCAGGGCUGAAGCAUAGGCCAAACACUGCUCUAGUACUGCCCAUACUGUUUAAUUGUUAGCAUGCAUCCAGGCACAAAUGCUGAGCCACCAGAGAACCAGCUCUGGAUAUUUUAUCUGCUAAUAUGGAUAUAAGUAUAGAAUUUAAGGUUAUUCAUAUAAGUUAAUUCUCCCCCCUAAGAACUGGAUUAAAAAGUCUAGUGGAUCUAUCUAGUCCUACCUUAAAGACUGUUGUGAAGUCUUUAACACGAUACAUAAAUUGUUCAAGGACAUAAUAAUUACACAUGCAACUAGAGCUUAAUGCAAUUCAAGCUUAAAGCUAACACCUUUUAUCUUUGGAAACAGUAGUGUGUUUCUGUUGGCAAAAUUAAGAGCUAUUAAGAGUUGCUAUAUAUGUAUAUAUUUUAAACUUUUGGUCAUGAGUAGCUAUCUUUGUCAAAUGAUUAAGUUUUCUUUCAACAACUUGCAUAGUAUACAAAUGACUGAACUGAAGCCUCUAAGCUUCAAGUUUGAGAGCAUCUUUUCUCAUACUAGAACACUCCAAAAUCUUUGCAAUACUUCACAUUCUUCUUGAAGUGUGAAUAUCAGAUUUGAGCACAGCACAGUCACAACAGUUUAUAGUGAUAUGUGCACAGACAUCAUCUACUUCUACUUGAUAGUCUUCUUCUUGUAAACAUUGUAUUAUCUCAUUUAACUGUAACACUGCACUAGGAAUUCCUGUUCAGGCAGUUAUCUUCAAUGACCUUGUGUUCUUUACAAGUCACUGUUUUCAAAGACAAUCUCUAUUAUGUAGUAAGUACAAAGUGUAUACUCGGUUUCCGGGUUUACUAUUUUGCACCUAGCUAUCUUAAAACAAAUAUAUUUCCCUAUGAUCUGUUGAUUAGGGUAAUUUUGACUAACAUUACCAGACAUUGUGAUCGGCAAAGGUUUUAUAACACUACUUGUAUCAUCAAUCUAAACAUUGACUAAAAUCUAGUCAGGAACUGAUUCCCUGAGAGAUACUUCUGUUUGUAUCUUGCCACACAUAUCUGCAUUUUGACACAUGACAGUGACCAGUCCUUAAUACGUCUAGUAUGUGUCUGAUUUAUUCCAUAUAUUGCCAAAACAAAUCAGUUGAAAGAUCCAUAUAUAAUAUGUCAAUAUGCCUCAUUAAAUAGCCUGUUCACAAAGGAAAUGCUGUGGAUAUUUAACACCAGUUUAGCAGUUUUAAAUUAAUUGGGACAGUUUCACUUUCCUGUUUAUUUCAUUUCAUAUUUGUCAAAAUAAUAUCCCCAUGGAAUUAGAUAUUAUACAUAGUAAUUAGUAUUACUGUGGAUAUGCUAGUUGUAAAUUCAUAGUUACAGCUGCAUUGUAGAUGUGCUUAAAAUUAAUUCUGUUGAUUUUGAUUUUUUAUGUUAUAUAUAUUCUGUCCAAACUCAAAGUCAAUUAUUAUUAGACUGAAUAUUUGUGAAUGUUUUCUGCAAUUCAAAUGAAAGAUUCAUAAUUAGAUGUGUUUUUAAAUGUCUGAAUGAUAUAACAGUGACAUCAUGUUUCUUUGGGUUUCUCUAGUUUUAAACUCUUAUAACUUAAUAAAUGCAUUACUUUCAAUAUCUGUAAGCAUUGAUUUAAAAUCUCCAGGAUAGGCUGUGUGUUUAAUUAAUGGUGUAAGGUAUUUCUACACUUUUUAUCUGUAUUUUUUCUCCUCAUUUUAAAACAUGUGAGAAGACUUCCAGAUUUACACAUCCUGCAUUUGCAGCCAAAGCUCAGGCUAUAUCUUUAAUCCCACUAGCUUCACAUGUUCCAGCCCCCUUUGCUACUUCUCUUGCUCUUUUGCCCUUAGUCUGGUCCCCAGUUCUUAAAGGUGCCAUAAGCUAGGAGAUGUAUAGAGAAUGAUACAUAUACACACCUGUAUACAUAUACUUGCAAUCACAAUAAGCAUUCUUUGUAAAUUUGGAUUUCUUACUUGAACUCAUACAUGCUAAUAUAAGAAUGACUUUUGUGUUAAAAAUUAAUGAUAGCUAAGUUGGUGAACAGAUCAUAGCUCAGGAUGCUCUGUUUUUUUAAUGCUUGUGUUUAGAAAUUGAUAGAAGCAGCCUCAGCCACAUAUUAACACAUCUUCUGUAGUUGUAGCAACCAUAAAAUAAACUAGAAUGCAAAUUUGGUCAUUGAUUUUGUCUUUUGCCUAAUGUUUGCAGUAAAAUUCAAAGGAUAGAGAGAUGAUCCUACUCUCUAGUGGCUAAAGUUCAAUAAAAAUGUAAUAAAACAUUGUUAUAGCAAUUUUUUCAUAGUGAAAUUUCUCGUAAAGUCUCAUUUUAUUCAAUAUGUUCUAAUACAGCCAAGGCAAUGUUAGAAAGAAUUAAGCUCUCAUAGUAUUAAAGGAUUGUAAGAGUA